UAGGGAAUCUUCCGCAAUGGGCGAAAGCCUGACGGAGCAACGCCGCGUGAGUGAAGAAGGAUUUCGGUUCGUAAAGCUCUGUUGUUAGGGAAGAAUGAUUGUGUAGUAACUAUACACAGUAGAGACGGUACCUAACCAGAAAGCCACGGCUAACUACGUGCCAGCAGCCGCGGUAAUACGUAGGUGGCAAGCGUUGUCCGGAAUUAUUGGGCGUAAAGCGCGCGCAGGUGGUUUAAUAAGUCUGAUGUGAAAGCCCACGGCUCAACCGUGGAGGGUCAUUGGAAACUGUUAAACUUGAGUGCAGGAGAGAAAAGUGGAAUUCCUAGUGUAGCGGCGAAAUGCGUAGAGAUUAGGAGGAACACCAGUGGCGAAGGCGGCUUUUUGGCCUGUAACUGACACUGAGGCGCGAAAGCGUGGGGAGCAAACAGGAUUAGAUACCCUGGUAGUCCACGCCGUAAACGAUGAGUGCUAAGUGUUGGUCUCAUAAGAGAUCAGUGCUGCAGCUAACGCAUUAAGCACUCCGCCUGGGGAGUACGACCGCAAGGUUG
rnacentral:rRNA from 1 species